UUUGAGGUUGCUUCCACCACUGAAGUAAAGGCUUAUUGACGUUUAAGAGGCGUAAAUGAUUAAAAAAAAAAAAGAAGCAAUAAGAUGCCACAUGUAAGUUUUCUCCCUUUUUUUUUACAAAUAUCAAUGAGCAAACUUAAAUUAUUUUAACUUGCUUCAGUAGAAAGUAUUCAUAUUUUCAGCAUCCCUCAAUAGCUGGAGAUUGCUGAAAAUGCAGAGCUACGGGUCCUCGGAUCAUCUAGCAGUUCUUGUGCACAGCCUCCAUUCUAUGAGCCGUAAGUAAGCCUAAAUCGUUCUUUCAGGUAAUCCCCACAGCGAAUCGGAGCAAAUCUGCACGCAUUAUCAUGCAGAUGUUAUUCCCAUUUUCAAUCACUAACAGUUCCUUGAUUCUAUUGUCAAUGUAAUAAAAACCUUUAGUUUACAAAUGAACCUCCGAAAUUUAACUUGUAUAUUAUAAAGAAUAUUACAGUUGAUAUUAUAGGGAACAACAGCUCUUGAUAGAGUUGAGCAAAAAUGGUUCCCAAACCACCUGUUUUCACAGCAACAUAAGUACUAGGUGUCCAAGAAAAGGGUGGCAGAAAAUUCUAACAAGGCAAGGCCAAUAAAUACCUCGGGGGACUCGACUCACUGCAACAGCUCUCCAAACAUUGCACAAUGCAUUCUGCAUGAGAGGAGAAACACCCCAUAGCAAAAACUUCUCCGAUAUAUUUAUUUAAAAAUGAGCAAAAACUUUUAGUAAGCAAAUAAAAACUCCUCAACGGAGUGAAGAAAAACAAUUAAUAGACAGGUUAGUCCACCUUUCCAUCAUGUCCCCAAUGUUAAUUACGAAGGCCCUGCAAAUUCAAAUUUAGAGAGCUAAGGCUGGAAUGAUAACUUAAUUAGACAGAACAUGUCCAGUUUGUCAUAUUCACCUCCAAGACUCUCCUUAUCCAGUUUGACAGCUAAAAAAGGAAUACCCAAUUAAUUAAAUCAUUUUUCCAGAUAUCAAUUUUCAUGCAUACUAAAGGCUCCCCAACUUCUUAUCCCAACUAUUCUUCCAUGUCCAUAAAAAUGGCCAAUUUGCCAUCAUAGACUUACCCAUUCCUAUGGGGCACAUUUUCCCAGGCCCGUGGUUCAUUGAAUUUCUCCCGACAAACCUGUAAUCAUUGAAAAACAAACAAGAAUGUCAUAGAAUUAGCACUUGAAGAUAUCAAGGGACAUUGUAGCAUUAAGUAUCAAGAAUUCUUAUACAAUUAGCACUUGAAGAUAUCAAGGGAUUCUAUAGCAUUAAGUAUCAAGAACUAAGAGAGAGACGAGCGAGAAUAGACAUAUGCCUGAAGUCCGGGUACACCGUUGGUCACCAGAAGAGUGAUCAUUCCAUAAUCUGAAUGUGCUGAAGCACCAAAUAUUUCUUCCUCAGAAUUCCCCAGUUCACCUGAGAUGACAAAAGUUUCUUCUGAAAUGGUUGGUUCAGCAAUUUUUUAGCCCAAGAGAAGUUCACUACAGAAUUAUAUUAGAUGAAUUUAAUAUCCUAGUUGGGUCCUCACACCAAACAAAUUAGGCCUGGUUCAUGUCAAGAACUUGGAAGCUUCUAGGAUAUAAAGAGGUAGAAAAGGAAAAAUAGGGGACCAGGAAUGAUAGAGAGCUUCUUCCAAUGCUAGAAUUUCUAGCAUAAUUUUGGUUGAAAUGAUGGUCCAUAUUGAACAUUAUCAUCAUAAGAGACAAAAUAUGAAGUUAAUCAGAAAAAUCAGCUGCACAUGUAGAUGCAUGUUGUCUAAAAUUAUUUCAUACAUCUAGCAUUUUCAGAAAGGCAGAAGGAUAAUGUAAUAAAAUCGCUAUCUAACAAGUAUCAACUAUUCACCACUCCCCAACUUCAGCUUUCCAUAUAGUCCAGAGGUGUUGCUGUUUUAUUUUAAGAAAGGGAAAAGGAGAAAAUGGCACAAAAUAAAGCCCACCUGGAUAAUGUAAUAGGCGAAGAAAGCUUUCUGGUUUAUCCAAGGCUCCUAUUUUCUCAAAUAAUCUUUAUCCAAGUUCAAAGCCAGAGCAAUCAAAGAGAUUAGUCUUUUUCCAGCAGACCUGAGGUAGCAUCUAGCACCAAGUAAGAAAUUGUACCAUCUAGCUAUUAUUCCCUAGGUCUAAAAUUGUCCAAUAUGCAAGUUCUCCAGAUGCAUGAAGAUGCCACAGAAAUAAUAAUCUAACAAAAGCUUAUUGUGUCUGGGUAUACCACAGUGUCAUCUUAUGCAGAAUACCCCAACAAAAUACUUCCAGUCAACAAGUAUUCAGCUAUAUGUAACAAAGGCAAAAAAAAAAAAAAAAAAUCAACAUUUUAAUAGAAAAAGCACUUUUCAAUAAAUCGGAAGAGACAGGGAGCAAAUGGGUAAAGCACCAAUUAAAAGAUAGUUGAAUUCAAAAGAGAAAAGUUAAGCAUAUCAUUAAUUUUCGCUCUUCAAAUUCAUUUAUAAACAUAAAGUCAACAAGAAAAACACUAUAAAAACAAAAACUUACAGAACUUUGCAAUAGUAAGACUCCAUGGUGGGUCUCCAAGAUGGAAGAAGUUCUGAAAUUCCCUAACCAAAAGAACUGCCUAUGUUUGGUUACCGCUUCCGCCAUGUUUCUAUUUUAUGGAAGAAAAAAUCUCCAUACAUGAGAAUUGAUCUGAAAAUAUUGACAAUUUUGAAAAAAAAUAAAGAAAUUAAGAAAAAACUAUAAAUUAAAAAUACCCUAUAAGAAACCAACUUCCUCACAAUAUGUAUAUAUUUUUUUAAUAUUCAUGUGAAAUCUGGAGAUCAUAAAUAGAUGGGAAUAUCUGGAGAUAAUAUAUUUCUUUUGAUAUUUCCAAUAAAAUAGGGAUUAAGACUAAGAAAAUCUUGGAUCUUCUUCCUUUUCUCCAUAACGGGUAAAACACACCGUUUUACCAUUUUUUCACAUCCUCCAAAUAUUUCUUUCCAAUUAAGCCAAUAAUUAUUGACCAACUCAACCUUUUGGUCUACUUAUCAAACCAUUAAGCAAAGCCUCAUUCACGUUCAUGAGCUGUAAUAUAAUUUUUUUAAUAAGAAAAGAAGCUAUUAGUGGAAAAAAAUAAAAAAUUAUACGAUAAAAACUAUUAGUUCAUCACGCAAAUUUAAAAAAUAUAUUAAAAAAUUCAUAAAAUUUUAAAAAUAUAAUAAUUAAUUUAUCCAUUAAAUUUAAUUGUUGAGAAUUGAAAAAAUAAAAAAUAAAUACCUUCAAUCAUUUUGUCAUCACAUUCCAACUAAGCAUUGUCAAAUAGUUUUUAAAACUGAGACAAAUAAUAAAUUUUCGCAUCUGACAGAAAUUACAUAGUAAUUCGCCGGUAACUGUUGACGAACUCAACCUUUUGAGGCUUCUUCCACCACUGAAGUAAAGGCUCAUCGACGUUUGUGAGGUGUAAUAAGAUUAAAAAUAAAAAGGAAGCAAUUAGUUGAUACAGGUUUGUUUUUUCUUUUUUUUUUUUCUUCUAAUAUUAACCAGCAAACUUAAAUUAUUGUAACUUGCUUCAGUAAAAAGUAUUCAGAAUUUCAGCAUCCCUCGAUAGCUGGAGAUUGCUGAAAAUGCAAAGCUACGAAUCCUCAGAUCAUCUAGCAGUUUUUGUGCACAGCCUCCAUUCUAUGAGCCGUAAGUAAGCCUAAAUCGUUCUUUCAGGUAAUCCCCACUGCGAAUCGGAGCAAAUCUGCACGCAUAUCAUACAGAUGUUAUUCCCAUUUUCAAUCACUAACAGUACCUUGAUUCUAUUGUCAAUGUAAUGAAAACCUUUAGUUUACAAAUGAACCUCCGAAAUUUAACUUGUAUAUUAUAA
rnacentral:lncRNA from 1 species